UGGAAAUCUGGAUUGUAGCAGGGCAUUAUAAGUUAAAAAAUCAUCUUCCCAUUCUGUUCUUUGCAAAGAUAUUUCUGUUCCUUAAAUUUGUUGAGGGUAAGAGAUUGCAGAUUGCUUCUGUGGACUUCUUGAAGGUGGAUCUGCCUGUUGGUGGAGAACCCUAGACUGCAUGCAGCCAUGCACAUGAUCUGGAGACACAGCAGAGACAAGGUCUUUGUCUGUUGCUCAGGAUGGAGUGUAGUGGUGCCAUAGCACACUGUAAUCUUGAAUUUCUGGACUACUGGCAUACACCACCAUGCUUAGGUUCGGGCCACAACAUCCGUGACUUUACCGGUUUUGGUCUCUUCCUUGUAACCUUCGGCUCCAGGAUGCUGCGCAGUUCCUCUCUGCACUAUCUAUCAGAAUGUUGCUCUGCGUGCUUGAAAGUUUCACCAAACAGAAGUACACAAGAACAAACAGAGGUGAAACACAAAUCCCCUCAGCCCUGGAGGAAAAGGCCUUGAAGCUCUUCCAGUGCAGAGGCCACGCAGAGGACAUGCUCCUACCUGUGCACAUCAGCCACGCCUGGGGUGCCUCCUGGAGUCCAGACUGCUGGCGAUGGAAUCCAUCAUGUUGCUGAUGUCACUACUCUCAACUCCUGAUGGCAUCAGAACACAGGCAGCAUCAAGAUCAGGCUCAAGAUGCAGGAUUUUAUCAUCCAAAUCAGGCCCACAUAUGGAUGAAACCCUUCAGUGUCCUCAAGAUCUUUGCAGCGUUUGCUCAUUGUCUGGUUCCAAGACCAUGGCCACAUGUUUUAGAUAGUUAUGGCAGCACUCCACUUCCAGGUAUCAAAUUCUG
rnacentral:lncRNA from 1 species